AACUUUUAACAACGGAUCACUUGGCUCUCGCAUCGAUGAAGAACGCAGCGAAAUGCGAUAAGUAAUGUGAAUUGCAGAAUUCAGUGGAUCAUCGAAUCUUUGAACGCACCUUGCGCUCCUUGGUAUUCCGAGGAGCAUGCCUGUUUGAGUGUCAUUAAAUUCUCAACCGGUAGUAAUUUAUCGGCUUGGAUGUGUGGUUUGCCGGCUUACGUCCGUUCCCCUCAAACGCAUUAGCCGGCGCCGUACGCGCGCCUAUUCUGGUGUGAUAAUUAUCUACGCCGGUGCACUCUGUCAUUUGCACUGCUUCUACCCGUCUUUUGAAGCCAACUAAUGACAAUUUGCCCUCAAAUCAGGUAGGACUCCCCGCUGCACUUAAGCAUAUCAAUAAGCGGAGGCU
rnacentral:misc_RNA from 1 species